rnacentral:rRNA from 1 species
AACGAACGCUGGCGGCAUGCCUAACACAUGCAAGUCGAACGAAGCCUUCGGGCUUAGUGGCGCACGGGUGCGUAACGCGUGGGAAUCUGCCCUUGGGUUCGGAAUAACAGUUAGAAAUGACUGCUAAUACCGAAUGAUGUCUUCGGACCAAAGAUUUAUCGCCCAAGGAUGAGCCCGCGUCGGAUUAGCUAGUUGGUGAGGUAAAGGCUCACCAAGGCGACGAUCCGUAGCUGGUCUGAGAGGAUGAUCAGCCACACUGGGACGUGAGACACGGCCCAGACUCCUACGGGAGGCGAGCAGUGGGGGAAGU